GUGACUGGUGGCGGCAGCCACCAACGUUUUUCAGAACUUGCGCUUGCUUUGCACUCGAUUCUAAGCCGCAAGCGGUUUUUUGGACUACAAAAACCGGAAAAAAGUGCGACUUCGAUUCGAGUAAAUACGGAUUCCGCCAUAAUUAAAGUGAAUUAGGAUGUUAGUGAGAUGACAUUGUGCAAACUAUGCUUCGUUUUGCCAAAGGAAGUAAAUUUUAAUACAGAAAUGAGAAAUGUAGCUGUUACUUGAAAUUCAUCAUUUCUGAGUGAGUGUUUUAGAAGAGACAGCAAGUUUUAGUUGCUAAAAAUAUAAUGAUGGGGCUGGACCAAUAACCAUAUCGAAAAACAUGCAAUUGUACCGUGUUUUGAGAAGGCUGCUACAGGAACAUUACACAACCAAGAAUGAAACAAAUUGUGCCUACAAAGAGAUGGUUGCAAAAUUUGUAGACAGUAUUCCAGCUGUGGACCAUAGUGUUGAUAUAAAAAUUAAGCAACAAAAUUGUAAGUUUCAGAAAAAAAAUUCUCCAUUUGUGUGGCCA